AAUUCGAUUAACGCGAAGAACCUUACCUACUCUUGACAUCCAGAGAAGCUUUUAGAGAUAGAGGCGUGCCUUCGGGAACUUUGAGACAGGUGCUGCAUGGCUGUCGUCAGCUCGUGUUGUGAAAUGUUGGGUUAAGUCCCGCAACGAGCGCAACCCUUAUCCUUUGUUGCCAGCGAUACGGUCGGGAACUCAAAGGAGACUGCCGGUGAUAAACCGGAGGAAGGUGGGGAUGACGUCAAGUCAUCAUGGCCCUUACGAGUAGGGCUACACACGUGCUACAAUGGCGUAUACAGAGAGAAACGAGCCUGCGAGGGGAAGCGGAACUCAGAAAGUACGUCGAAGUCCGGAUUGGAGUCUGCAACUCGACUCCAUGAAGUGGAAUCGCUAGUAAUCG
rnacentral:rRNA from 1 species